UCAAUAACCGCUACGCACAAGGGAGCUAAAACUUAUACUAGCUUCUCCUGCUGAAAUAUAAUCCUUUGAAUGCUAAGACACGUUGGAGUGUUAAAAAACAUUUCAUCCGAAUUUGUAAACAGAGACUACUGCAAGUUUCUUAUGAAUGUUUUCUGCUUAGAUGCAUAACAGAAAGCCUCAUGCAAGAAUAAAAUGUUCAUUAUUAAAAUUUUCUUCAACACACACUUCUCUUUCAAGAAUUAGUCUCCACUAAAGAAGCCAAAUUGAUGGUAUUUGGAAAGCAAGCCAACUGACUAGAAACAUGCUCCCAUAAUGAGCUUUUACCUACAAGGCAGUUUUCGCUGUAGUAGCAAGAUAUUUGGUAAGCUUAAACGGAGUAACAUGGUCAGUAGGAUUCAUUCAUAUAGCUGACCUCAACUUGGUUGGAAAAGAGCUAUUGUGGGGUUAUAUGAUAGAAGGAUGUCUACAAAAGUGGGUAAGCUUUACAAAAUAGUUAUAAGACCGACAAUGCUAUAUGAUAGUAAAUGUUGAGCCGCUAAAGUCCAACAUAUCCACAAGAUGAGUGUUCCAGAGAUGUGGAUGCUAAGAUAGAUGUGUGGUCAUACAAGAAUAGACAAGAUUUAAGAAGGCCACAAUCGCCGGAAGGUGCAACUAACACAGAUUGAGGAUAAAAUGAGG
rnacentral:lncRNA from 1 species